GUGCCAGCCGCCGCGGUAAUACGUAGGGUCCGAGCGUUGUCCGGAUUCAUUGGGCGUAAAGAGCUCGUAGGCGGCUCGGUAAGUCGGAUGUGAAAACUCAGGGCUCAACCCGGAGACGCCAUCCGAUACUGCUGUGGCUUGAGUCUGGUAGGGGAACACGGAAUACCUGGUGUAGCGGUGAAAUGCGCAGAUAUCAGGUGGAACACCGAUGGCGAAGGCAGUGUUCUGGGCCAGUACUGACGCUGAGGAGCGAAAGCGUGGGGAGCAAACAGGAUUAGAUACCCGCGUAGUCC
rnacentral:rRNA from 1 species